rnacentral:rRNA from 1 species
AGGUAUCUACCCUUUGGCCUGGAAUAACACGAGGAAACUUGUGCUAAUACCGGAUACGUCUUUACGGAGAAAGCUUUAUGCACCAUUGGAUGAGCCUGCACUUGAUUAGUUUGUUGGUAGGGUAAUGGCCUACCAAGACUUUGAUCAAUAGCUGAUUUGAGAGGAUGAUCAGCCACAUUGGGACUGAGACACGGCCCAAACUCCUACGGGAGGCAGCAGUGGGGAAUCUUGCACAAUGGAGGAAACUCUGAUGCAGCGAUGCCGCGUGAGUGAA